UAGUCCACGCCGUAAACGAUGAAUGUUAGCCGUCGGGCAGUAUACUGUUCGGUGGCGCAGCUAACGCAUUAAGUGCUCCGCCUGGGGAGUACGACCGCAAGGUUGAAACUCAAAGGAAUUGACGGGGGCCUGCACAAGCGGUGGAGCAUGUGGUUUAAUUCGACGCAACGCGCAGAACCUUACCAGCUUUUGACAUCCUGGUCGCGGAUUUGGGAGACCAUUUCCUUCAGUUCGGCUGGACCAGUGACAGGUGCUGCAUGGCUGUCGUCAGCUCGUGUCGUGAGAUGUUGGGUUAAGUCCCGCAACGAGCGCAACCCUCAUCCUUAGUUGCCAGCAUUUAGUUGGGCACUCUAAGGAAACUGCCGGUGAUAAGCCGGAGGAAGGUGGGGAUGACGUCAAGUCCUCAUGGCCCUUACAAGCUGGGCUACACACGUGCUACAAUGGCGAUGACAGUGAGCAGCUAACCCGCGAGGGCAAGCUAAUCUCUAAAAGUCGU
rnacentral:rRNA from 1 species